CUAGGCUUUCUGACAGUGUAGGCGAAGGGAUAGCUUUUUUUUACUGAAAGCCAAUCAAAGUUUAAAUACCAAUUUCGGAUGCGAUAUACUUUAUUGGGACUUUGGAUUUAACUAAGUUUGGAAUCUCUCAUGACUUACAUGCUUUGGAAAGUUUUUAGAAUUCAACCAUAAAAAGACUUCUGUAAAGAAACAAGACAUAACCAGAGGUCUCCUACUUACGAUAUGCUGCGCCAAUGCGAAUGCCCACGAGUAUAAAUUGCAGUUAACCAACGGACAUUGCCGGAAAUGUCCCGGUUCCCAGCUUUCCAACAACAUAUGUCCGGACUUGCACGAAAGAUUCAACGCGUUGAAAGCCAACAUCCGGGAUGAUUUGCACGAACUUUACAACAAUGUCUCGAGGACUUCGGAUGAUCUGCACCACUUGCAUAACGCUGACGAGAUAAACCCGCCCAUCAUCAUACAGAGGCUGGCGGAUGUCGAGAACUGGACGUGCACACGAAAGAACAUAGGCCGGAGGUCGCCCAUGG